rnacentral:rRNA from 1 species
AGUGAACGCUGGCGGUAGGCCUAACACAUGCAAGUCGAACGGCAGCACAGUAAGAGCUUGCUCUUACGGGUGGCGAGUGGCGGACGGGUGAGGAAUACAUCGGAAUCUACCUUUUCGUGGGGGAUAACGUAGGGAAACUUACGCUAAUACCGCAUACGACCUACGGGUGAAGGCAGGGGAUCUUCGGACCUUGCGCGAUUGAAUGAGCCGAUGUCGGAUUAGCUAGUUGGCGGGGUAAAGGCCCACCAAGGCGACGAUCCGUAGCUGGUCUGAGAGGAUGAUCAGCCACACUGGAACUGAGACACGGUCCAGACUCCUACGGGAGGCAGCAGUGGGGAAUAUUGGACAAUGGGCGCAAGCCUGAUCCAGCCAUACCGCGUGGGUGAAGAAGGCCUUCGGGUUGUAAAGCCCUUUUGUUGGGAAAGAAAAGCAGCAGGUUAAUACCCCGCUGUUCUGACGGUACCCAAAGUAUAAGCACCGGCUAACUUCGUG